rnacentral:rRNA from 1 species
GUUUCCUACGGGACGCAGCAGUGAGGAAUAUUGGUCAAUGGUCGGGAGACUGAACCAGCCAAGCCGCGUGAGGGAUGAAGGUACAGAGUAUCGUAAACCUCUUUUGUCAGGGAACAAAGGCGGGGACGUGUCCCCGGAUGAGUGUACCUGAAGAAAAAGCAUCGGCUAACUCCGUGCCAGCAGCCGCGGUAAUACGGAGGAUGCGAGCGUUAUCCGGAUUUAUUGGGUUUAAAGGGUGCGCAGGCGGUCUGUUAAGUCAGCGGUAAAAUUGCGGGGCUCAACCCUGGCGAGCCGUUUGAACUGGG